CCCGCACUUGAUUAAGCCUCUUCCAUUAUUGUGCGCAGUUACGGUAAACAAAAAAUGCAGGGAAACAAGAACAUUCUGCAAUGAGAGGGCCGUCUGAGCGCAGGGCACAGGGAAGUUGAUGCUGUACCCACUGGAGUCACGCCACUCCUCCACUGAUGGCUCUGGACAAUCUGCACGAACGGAGAAAAAAAGAAAGACUUUAAUUCCUAGAAAGAAAAGUGUUGAGACUGACCCCAAAGCAGCUUCCUGAUCUGCCCAUCCUCCAGCUGAAGCGCCACAGUGUGUGUCCGGCAGCAGUGGACCAGACUGACCACGACGCCGUCCACUUCCAGCUGACACCUGCAGCGUCAAAACAAAGUCAGUGGAUGAAAAUCUGAUGUUUUUGCUUGCAGCAGGUGUUCUGGUCUGGGACCUGACUGCAAGUGUGUCCGCGGCUUCCUGGGCGGGGCGCAGCAUCAUCAGGUUGGAGGAGGUGGGCAGCGGACCGCGGCCGGCGGCCACAAACAGAUCGUCCUGCAGCCAGAGCAGAUGCCGCAGAGACAGCGGCGCCUCCUGGUGGACGGCAGCUCUGCAAAAAAUGCAGUGAAUGUCGCCAGCUGAUUGGUCCCCUCAGGCCGGCAGAGGAACGUCACCUGGUUGACCGCUGAGCUCAGCUGCACCUCAAAGGAACACAUGGGAGGAGGGACCACAGUCUGCCUGAAGGUGGUCACCAGGACCUUAUCUGGAGGAGGGUUAGAACUAUCAACCUUUCCUCCGCUUCCUCUCAUCCCAUUGGUUCUCACCUCCAUCAAUUACAGCCACGUUGGCGUUAUCCGUAGCAUCCAGCCCCGGGCUCCUCUCUGUCGUCCAACCCCAGUCGUAGGUGAGGCUGCCCCAGUCACGAGUCACCAAAUGGAGCCGCAGGGGCCGCUCGGGGUCCCAGCACACGCACGCCGGAGCUUUUUGGGGGUCUUUGCCAAAGUCCAAGCUCUGCUUAAGGUACCAGUGGUAGUUACCCACCGUCCACAGCUGGACUGCCGGAAGAAGACAGACAUUAGUCGCUUUUUGUCUUCUGCACCGGACACUGGACUGGACUCACCACAAGUGUUGACGUGUCCGUGCUCCCCCGCUGUCAAAUCCUCUAACCAGAUUGCAAGGACAGUGGAGUCAUUGUUCCACAGCAGCUCCUUCACCUGCAAGAAAAAUAUCAUCAUCAUGGAUCUUGAAUUGUCAUUAUUAAGAAGCACAGUUGACAUGAAUCUGACAGGUGUGAAAGUUAGCAUUAGCACACAAGAGGCAAGAAGGAUCCGGCGCCUUGAAUGUUAUGCAAUAUCUAUUGAUGGGUGCUCACGCCCACUGGAAUAGGCUCCGCCCCCCUGACCCUAAACCGGUUAGGUGGUCUCGAAGUCAACCUGCCUUGGCCUGGUCUUUGUUGAGUGGCAGCGUGAAGUCUCCGUGCAGCAGGCCGUUCUUUUCCAUGAAGACCACACUGUGCUUGUUGGGGUGGCGCUGGGUGCUCGCCAUCAGGCUGCCGGAGGGUCUGAAACAUGGAGACUCCUUCACAUGGGUUGACUGGGAACAGUCCAGGAGGGCGAUCCUCACACGUCUGCUAAUAUAAUGCCACCUCAACUUAAAACCUCUAAAGGCUUAGUGGCCACAUGCGUGGACAGCACCUUUUAGCUCUUAUUUCCAAAAUUGUGUACACUACUGAAUUGGGGUCUUAUGGCCACUUAUGUGGACAGUUAUACUGCCAUCUGUUGGUGUCAGAAGAGUAUAACAUACAAUGGAUUUUGGGAAAAAAAGUGUAAAAAUAAGAAUUAGCAUGUCACUAAACAUGAAGUACACGUUUGUGUACUUAUGGACUAAGUACAUCAUAUCAAAAGAUAAUUCUUAGUUUUUAUUCCAAUAAGCCCAAAUAGCAAAGAGAAAUUAAAAAAAACAUGUAAACAAACAGCUCGGGCCUUAAGAGGUUUUAAAAGGGGAACUGCUUUUGCUUAUCGUUCACAAUGCUCAUGAGAGACCAGAAGACAAAAAGCUUCUUUUUUUUUGCAUUAUAAAAAAUCUCGUUCUAGGUGGUAAGCAAUGCAGCUAAUAGGAGCAAUCAAUUCUGCCUCUAAGUCACUUUAAAAAUGCAUUCAAAAACAGUGAACAAUCCUUCAUUUACGUUCUGUAACCUAAGCUGUUGUGACAUUGUUAUUGUUUAAGCUAACCCGGAGGAACACUUUUUCUAGUGUAGUAACACAUUGUCUUAUGACAGCAUGCUAUUAUUUACCAUGAAUUGAUUAACGUGGACCCCUACUUAAACAAGUUGAAAAACUUAUUGGGGUGUUACCAUUUAGUGGUCAAUUGUACAGAAUAUGUAAUGUACUGUGCAAUCUACUAAUAAAAGUUUCAAUCAAUCAAUGCGACGGUGUUAGCUGUAAGCGCGCUACUGCGUGAACAGCUAAAUAGCUUUUGAGUUUGUAAUGCACAACAAUGCGAUAGGACACCACUCUGUACACUGCAAAAAGUCAGUGUUCAAAAACAAGAAAAAAAAAUACCAAAAUUAGGUGUAUUUUAUUCGAACUAAGCAAAAUUAUCUGCCAAUAGAACAAGAAAAUUCAGCUUGUCAAGACUUUCCAAAACAUGCAAAAUUAGCUAACCUCAAUUAACCCAAAAAUGCCUUAAAAUAAGU